UUCACAGAAGACUCUUACUGCCUUCGUCUUGUGUUGGUGUCGUUCUAAAUCUAGGCAUCAAAAAGAGUGAAAUGUGCCUUGGGUCAGCUCAGAACACCAAAACAAAGUUUAGUAAGCAGUACGGGAUGAUAGAUGGUCCCCUGCAGACCUCAACCCGUCGUUUGCUUUCUUUACUGUCAUUUCUGGCUAUUUCCACACGAAGCUGCUGCACAUGGACAGACCACAAUUGUUCUGUCAACUAUUUUAUCACAUUCAAGUUGCAUCUGGUUACAUUAUUCACCCUCUGCGUGGAUCUGUGAAAUCCCCAAACACCUCACGCGUCAUGAGGCAAAACAACUCAAUGGGUUUAACAACUAAAAUAGACCAGAGCUUCAGGUGGCUCAUUUUCCUCCAUGCGGGCUCUUUAUUCCUCAGGCUUGAGAGUGCCUAUGUUACAACAAAACAAGUUGGCCUCAGAAGGCCUAGUCAAACACACAAUGUUGCAAACCCACCCAGUGCGGUCACCCACAUUGUCCUCUGAUCUCAAUUUCUGUCUUCCUUGGAAAUCUGCGCCUUUGUUAGGGUCCACACAGUCACCUCUGAGGUUCUCUGCUUCCCAGAAAAAACCCACGCAAGCUGUAUUUCAUAACUGGUUCCUUAUCUCUGGAGCACCUGUGAAGGGAAUGAGCAGGGUAAGCCUGAGUUAACCCUUCGGCAGGUAAAGGGCUAGGGAACACUGAUUGCAGGCUUAUUAGUUAUUUUGGGAUCUGCAGGACUUUUCUUGGACUAUUUUAUAUCAGUUGCAGCCAGGUUAACUGUGUAUGCAUACUAUAUAAAAUGCUGUAUGUUGUGUCCAUCUUCACCUAGACAAAUAGUAAACUUCUUUGUACAGUUUCAGGCCUGUGUGUGUGAACAAAAGCAUCAGAAUGAGCGGGGAAGUAGUGGAGCUGCAAGACAGAGAUCAGUGACCUGAGAUCACGCACCCACAACAAAUCUGCUGCUGCAGAACUCACGCUGUCCACAAGCCUGAGCACUUGGUAAAACAAGAUGAUAUGAUUAACUUUAUUUUACAUAUACAAAGCAGUGUUUAAGACGUUUAAGCAGAGGUCAAGCAACGAGUGAUGGAAUCACCAACCAGAACAGUGCCAAGGUCUCCUCGUUGUCCUCUUUCCUGCCAUAAGCCCUCUGUGUGAUGCUGUCACUUGUAGCCCAUUUUUUCCUUACAACUUACUUGGGCUAAAAGCCAUUUUCAGGCUUUAGUUCAGAUUAUGAAGCAGCCAGUUUUGAGUUUCUUGUAAACCACAAGGUAGCCAGAGUACAGUCAUUAAUCUAAGAAGGCAAGAUUAAUAAUACAGAACUUUGAAAUUUCUUGGCCAAACUCAGCAUUGUAGUAAGUAAUAAAUAAUUUCUUUGAUGAUA